GCGCCGUUCUCUUCCUCCCCGCACACACCCGAACCACCACCGCCAUGGCCGUCGUCAUUCGCGCACUCCCCGUCAUCCCCGAAGCAUGAGGUCGUGCCCCUGGACUUCGCCGUCGCCCGCUACUUCCUCUACCGCCUCCCAUUGAAGCUCGGCGCCACUACAUCGCCUGCAUCGAGUCAUCUUCCACCUCCGGCCGCCGCUCAUCGCCGCUUCGAUUUGUUGCCUCCAAGCCUUCCCCGAGCUUGCUUUGCACCUCUACAGGUUCGCGGUGAGGUCCCCGACCGAUUCCCCUCGUUCCCUAGUUCAAUCCACCCCGUUAGGCGCCGCCCCUGUGCUCGUCCAUGGCCACCAUGGCCGGAGCCCGAGCUCCUGCAUACAUACUCUGCUGCUGCCUUCCCCUCACUAUCGCGCCCUGCCUCACCUGGAGGCCCCUUCGGGCUGCCCGGGCGCUCGCUGGCCGGGCCGCCUGCAGACGUCCAUGCCGCCCGAGGCACACCCCGCUACAGCCGCCGCUGCCGCACUCGUACUGCUGCUCUUGCCGCUGCCGCGGCUAGUACUGCUACUGCUGCCCGCUAUGCACUACUGCUGCUCCUUGCGUGCUGCAACGCUGCCCCUCACCCGCAUCGCCCGGCGCCGCUGCUCCCCUGCUGCUGCCGGCUGCGCGUCCCGCUUGCCCGUCGCCGCCGGCUUCGUCCAUGGCCUCGACCAGUGCCGCGCAAGCAGGCUCACCCCUUCGCUGGCCGUGGCCUGGGCCAGUACCUAACGGGUCCAAGCCCAGUUUAAUUAGAGGGGUAACCUCCCCAAUUACUCCCUCCGUCCAAGAAAAGUUGUCCUCAGCACAGUGUAUUUACUUUUUUGCAAAAAGACCCUCAGAGUCUUAAACCCGUCACGAAUAACUCCAUCUUCUUCCUUCGUGCUCCCCAGUCGCCCGCGCCUCGCAGCCAUCGUCGGCUUCCCACCUGCGCCGCCGCCCGCCUGGACCUGCGCCGCGACGAACACCAGCGCCGCCCAGCGCGCGACCAACACCAGUGCCGCCGCCUGCAGCCCGCCUGGACGUGCGCCGACGCUUCCACCUGCGGCGCCCGCUGCGAAGGCAACCUGCGCCGGCGCCCGCCUCGAGCUGCGCCGCCAGCGCCGUUGAAUCUCGCUGCAACGGUCGCCCACCUGCGCUGCCCGCGGUAUCCCACCUGCGCAACCACCUUCGCCGCCCACUGCCACAAACCUGCGCCUCCGACUUCGUCCGCUUCGGCCGCCGGCGCCGCGGACAAUUCCGGCCACUCCCGCCUCUGAUGUUGCUACUGCCGGUGGGCGAUGCCGACGUGGACCUCUGAUGAUGCUUCUUCCCUUUCCCUUGCCCCGACUCUGCUCGUACUGGUGCUGGUGAGUCUGCCCCGCCCGCUUCUGCUGCUGCUGCUGUUCAACUAGUGGUGUGAGUCUGAAGAUUAUUGUUGUGUCUGGAGAACCUGCAAAGAUAAUUCCUGAACCUACAAGAUGAUUGCUGAAUUGAGUUGAGGUUAGUUGAGUUGAGUUGUCAUGCUGAAAUGGUGCAAUGUUGAUAAAAAAAUUCAGUUAACUUUUCAACACAAGUUAACUGCAUUCAGAUCUCUUGAUGCUCAAAACCUGUCAAUUUCUGUCUGCUUUUGAUCUGUCAAGUUGAUAUUCAGUCAAGUUGAUGUCAAACUUGACACAUAAAGUUGAUAAUCAGAAUAUUUAUAGUUCCCCAAAUCACAAAACUGGAUUCCAAACAAUGCAUUUGAUAAUUUUGAAGGACAGACCAAAGGAAUCAGUUGUCACUGUUAAUUGAUUAGAAAAUGCAUGCUUCCAUGAGUGCACUGAAAGUUCAGUGAACAGAGAGACAAGAUGUAGGGUUUUUAGCUGCUGCCACAACACAAAGUCUAUAGAUGCUGAAGUUGUCAGUAUAAAAUCAUUCAGAGUAGAUGAUGCAAGCAAUCAACAUUCAGUUUUGACCAAAGCAGAGAUGUAAAAGAUGUUACUCCACACAUUCAGUGUCAUACAAUUACAGAGAUGUUACUCCAACACACAUAACAGCACCACAUUGAGUGUCAUACAAUUACAGAGAUGUAGAGUUGUCAGUAUUAAAUCAUUCAAAAUUUUCCUGUCAAAAUUUUCAGUCAAGCACAACUGAUCAUGUAAUUUGAGAAGAUUACUCCAGAUUUUGGAAACAAUCAAUUGCUCCAGAUUCUGUCAAUUACUUGUGUCAAUUAAUCAUGUCAAUGGAUAAAUUAUUGGAGUAGAUCAAAUUCAGUCAUUAUAAUGUUUGAUGCCAGCAUUAACAAUUAGUUCUGAUGCAGAUCAAGAAGUACAGGAACCAGAGUGAAGAAGCAGAUCAACAAUCGGAGAAAUAGCAGUAGUAGAUCAAGAAGUACAACAGAUCAACAAAGCAACAGUGGUAACUGAAUUUUCAACACUUCUCUAUACUGCAUAAACAUUCUGUGUUUGAUCAAAUGAUUGUCAAGAUUUAUGCAAAUGAAGAUCAUAGUAAGAUAGCAGUAUUUAUGUACUCUGAAAUUCAGUAUUGGUAGAGAUGUAUUGAUGUAUCAUGUGUCAUGUGUAUGUAUUGUCUCAUGUGUAUCUCUCUGUGUAAUGUGUUCAAUGAGAAA
rnacentral:lncRNA from 1 species